rnacentral:rRNA from 1 species
GACGAACGCUGGCGGCGUGCUUAACACAUGCAAGUCGAACGGAAAGGCCCUGCUUGCAGGGUGCUCGAGUGGCGAACGGGUGAGUAACACGUGGGUGAUCUGCCCCUUACUUUGGGAUAAGCCUGGGAAACUGGGUCUAAUACUGGAUAGGACCAUGCUGUAGGUGGUGUGGUGGAAAGAUUAGUUUCGGUAAGGGAUGAGCUCGCGGCCUAUCAGCUUGUUGGUGGGGUAAUGGCCUACCAAGGCGUCGACGGGUAGCCGGCCUGAGAGGGUGGACGGCCACAUUGGGACUGAGAUACGGCCCAGACUCCUACUGGAGGCAGCAGUGGGGAAUAUUGCUCAAUGGGCCCAAGCCUGAUGCAUCGACGCCGCGUGGGGGAUGACGGCCUUCAGGUUGUAAACUCCUUUCAUCCAUGACUAAUCCCUUGUGGUUGACCGUAGUGGUAGAAGAAUCACCGACUAAACUACGUGCCAGCCGCCGCGGUACUACGUAAGUUGCUACCGUUCCCCUAAUUACUGGAAGAAUAGAACUCGAAAUGGGUCUGUCCCGUCACUUGAGAUACCCCUGGCUUAACCCCGGGUUGGCAGGUGAUACGGGCAUGACUGGAGUACUGUAGGGGAGACUGGAAUUCCUGGUGUAGCGGUGAAAUGCGCAGAUAUCAGGAGGAACACCGGUGGCGAAGGCGGGUCUCUGGGCAGUAACUGACGCUGAGGAGCGAAAGCAUGGGUAGCGAACAGGAUUAGAUACCCUGGUAGUCCAUGCCGUAAACGGUGGGCGCUAGGUGUGGGUUUCCUUCCACGGGAUCCGUGCCGUAGCUAACGCAUUAAGCGCCCCGCCUGGGGAGUACGGCCGCAAGGCUAAAACUCAAAGGAAUUGACGGGGGCCCGCACAAGCGGCGGAGCAUGUGGAUUAAUUCGAUGCAACGCGAAGAACCUUACCUGGGCUUGACAUGCACUGGAUGCGGCCAGAGAUGGUUGUUCCCUUUGUGGCUGGUGUGCAGGUGGUGCAUGGUUGUCGUCAGCUCGUGUCGUGAGAUGUUGGGUUAAGUCCCGCAACGAGCGCAACCCUUGUCUCGUGUUGCCAGCAUUUGGUUGGGGACUCGCGGGAGACUGCCGGGGUUAACUCGGAGGAAGGUGGGGAUGACGUCAAAUCAUCAUGCCCCUUAUGUCCAGGGCUUCACACAUGCUACAAUGGCUGGUACAGAGGGUUGCGAUACCGUGAGGUGGGGCUAAUCUCGUAAAGCCAGUCUCAGUUCGGAUUGGAGUCUGCAACUCGACUCCAUGAAGUCGGAGUCGCUAGUAAUCGCAGAUCAGCAAUGCUGCGGUGAAUACGUUCCCGGGCCU